rnacentral:tRNA from 1 species
GGGGCUGUGGUGUAACCAGGCAGCACAACAGGCUCCAGACCUGUUAGUCUGGGUUCAAAUCCCAGCAGCCCCA